GAAAAGCUCCGUUUUUGUGACGGAUUAGUGUGGACGGAGAAAUAUUGCUGCAUUUUCAAAUUUCUCCAACGUAGUGUGGACAAGGCCUUAUUAAAACAUCUCUCUGCGUUCCCUUUGUGAUGGUUACUUUGCCGAGAAGUCAGUUGUCUUCAAACUACAGAAACUUUGUCAACUUUUUUUGAUGUUGUCAAUAAUAAACGUACUGUUUAUCAUUUUGCAGGAGCAAAUAUUAGAUCUUCAUCAUGAUCACUUGUUACCCUCUCAAAGCGGAAGACGGUCAGAUGGCGAAGUGUCCCAGCGUUUUGCUCUGGUGAACAGGUUUCCAUCUUCGAAGUGGGAAGAUGCGAGGCGUUUUCUGUUAGGAUCUUGACGUCAAAUCAGUUCUCUUUGCGAGAAAUAAUUAUUUUAUCUAUGGUGUUUCUAAAUUUUACCAAAUAAAUUGUACAAAACUUUAAAAACUUUCCGAUAUAUGAUGUGAGAGACGCGGUAGAUAAAUGCAUUCUUUGUGUUUUAUUUAUAAAUUUCUGGGCCCAUUAUUUAAUUGCGUGUUUUUGGCCAUUGAUAUUUUUGCUAAGAUUCCCAAAAGUAACUUUAGUUGUGUAUUUUUUUUUAUAAGAAAAAGAACAUUUCGGGAAAUGUACUCUCAAUUUCAACGUCCAUCUCUGAUUGCAUUGUUCCAUAGUGGUGUUGUUUCAAUAUUGUGAGACAGAAGGACAUUCGAAGAGAAUAGUUCUGGAUCUCAUGACUAAAAUAACGAGUAUUAGUUGUUGCUGAGACAAUGGCAAAACAUCUUUCGAGCUUUUCUCUCAUGAGUAUACAAGAACUAUUUGUUGAUGUAAUUAUGUAAAGUUAUAUCAGGUAAUAAAGAAAAUAAGCCCA